rnacentral:lncRNA from 1 species
GAGGGAGAAGGGGGAAAAAUAGUUGUGCUUCUGCUUCUUUCGUUCUAAGAUAAAUUCUCCCGGAGACAACCUCUCCCACUAAUUGUGUGUUAGCCAUGAAUUUUAUCUCAAGAGCUGACGCACUGGGCUCUCAACUAGUGUGGAAAAGCAGCCAGUUACAGUGUAGGAUUCAUAAAAGGGCCUCUAUGGUGUGUGAGAAAGAAUAUCUGUGUGCCUAGGCAGGAAACUUUUUGAUCUACAGAAAAGCCAGAAGACAUCUAGCACACCAGAAUAGAGGUCCUGUCUUACUAAGCACUAUACAGUAUGGAGAGAUCCUGCCAAACCCGUCGGGACGAAUAACAGAUGAAUUCGUAAAACUGUUCAUCUCUGUUAUCCUGAAUGGUCGCUCAGACAACAUUUUACUCAACUAUAAAGGGAGAAGCAUAUUGUGUGAUGUUCUAUAUUUAUGAGACCCAUAACAAACUGUGAAGAGAUAACAGAACGCUUUUUGCGUGAGCUGAAACAGUAGAUGAAAUCUUUCAUUAAAAUUACUCGUACUUUGGGUCCUAUUCUUAUUUAUAAAUAAACAUAAAUAUUAUUGCAAAUAUUU